rnacentral:tRNA from 1 species
GCGCUGGUUUUAGGCACCAGUCUCUUCGGAGGCGUGGGUUCGAAUCCCACUCUCGUCA